UAGGGAAUCUUCCACAAUGGACGAAAGUCUGAUGGAGCAACGCCGCGUGAGUGAAGAAGGGUUUCGGCUCGUAAAACUCUGUUGUUAAAGAAGAACAUAUCUGAGAGUAACUGUUCAAUGUGUGACGGUAUCUUACCAGAAAGGAACGGCUAAAUACGUGGCAG
rnacentral:rRNA from 1 species